CAGUAGCCACGGUAAUACAGAGGGUGCGAGCGUUAAUCGGAUUUACUGGGCGUAAAGCGUGCGUAGGCGGCUUCUUAAGUCGGAUGUGAAAUCCCCGGGCUUAACCUGGGAACUGCAUUUGAAACUGUCAGGCUGGAGUCUUGUAGAGGGGGGUAGAAUUCCAGGUGUAGCGGUGAAAUGCGUAGAGAUCUGGAGGAAUACCGGUGGCGAAGGCGGCCCCCUGGACAAAGACUGACGCUCAGGUGCGAAAGCGUGGGGAGCAAACAGGAUUAGAUACCCGUGUAGUCCCUGUCUCUUAUAC
rnacentral:rRNA from 1 species